rnacentral:lncRNA from 1 species
GUAGGUGGAAUCUGUCUGCAUCCUAAUCCCUGAAGCCUAUGAACAUGCUACUCCGUAGGGGAAAGGGGACUCGGUAGUGUGAUUUAGAUCUUGAGAUGGUGUGAUUACCUGAUUAUCCAGGUGGGCCCAGUGACUUCACAGAAGUCCUUAUGAGGGGGAGACAAAAAGGCCAGAGUCAGACAAAGGGGAUGUAAUUACAGGAGAAGAAGUUGGAAUGGUAUGUUUUAAAGAUGUAGGCAUGCACAUGGCUUCCAGAAGCUGAAAAGGGCAGUAAAAUAGUCUUGCCUCUAAGAGUCUCCAGAAAGGAACAUGGACCUGCCAACAUGUUGAUUUUAGCUUGAGGAGGAGCCACAGCCCUUGCUGGUCAUGCAGGCUUCCCUCAGGCCUGCAGUGACCCAGACAGCACACCCUGAAGACCUCAGCCAAAGGUCAUUCCAUCCCUUGCCAUGGUGGUCCUGGGGCUCUCAGGUUUAUCUUCUCAGCUCACCUUCUCCAUCUCCUCUGAGGCCUGUGGGAAAUUCUGGAGUCCCCAGGCCUCUGGAGAGCCAGAGAGGCCAUGAAAGGAGAAGCUGGCCCAGGCCUUCUUUCUGAGACCCAUCACACCAAGGUUUUCUAGGCAGCCGGGAGAUGAGCAGUUUCCUGUGCCGCACACUGCCCAUCAUGACGCACUGCCACACCAUGGGCCCAAAGGAAACAGGGCCAAGUCAAC